ensembl:lincRNA
UGUAAAAAAAAAAAAGUAAAACACCAAAAUUCUCUUCUCAGUGAGAAUCCUCCGUUCCUGAGUCCCCAGUAAACAAUGGCGGCGCUGACUAAGAAAGAGAAUUUUCGUCAAGAGACAGCCGAGGCACGCUGCUCAGGACCGCGGUCUUCACAGGCUCUCUGUCCCUCUUCAAAAAGACAGAUGUCUUCAUUUUUUUGGAGAGCUUCCUUCUGUUACCAACGUCUGUGCUAAUUUACUGUUAUAAAAAUUGAAAGAGGUUAUAGAAAGAAUAUGGUAAGGUAAACAGUAUACAUAUUUAAUGUGGGAAGAAAAGCUAAACAUCAUCAAAAUUAUCAUCCUAUAAAAACAAGUUUUAAGGUUCUGAUUUUAGUUUAACAAAAGCAUCUACUCUUAACUAACUGGUGACAUAUAUAAAACUUACAGCAGUCCUCAGUUUUAUUUAACUUUAUGCUGAUUCUUUCGUGCUUUCAAUGCUCCUUUCUUUGUUCUCUUCCUCAUUUCUUCCUCACUUCCACCCUCAAAUCAUU